rnacentral:rRNA from 1 species
UACAGAGGUGGCAAGCGUUGUUCGGAAUUACUGGGCGUAAAGGGCGCGUAGGCGGUGGCGGCAAGUCUUCUGUGAAAUCGUCCGGGCUUAACUCGGAGCCUGCAGGGGAAACUGCCGCGCUUGAGUGUGGGAGAGGUGAGUGGAAUCCCGGUGUAGCGGUGAAAUGCGUAGAUAUCGGGAGGAACACCUGUGGCGAAAGCGGCUCACUGGACCACAACUGACGCUGAGGCGCGAAAGCUAGGGGAGCAAACA